rnacentral:misc_RNA from 1 species
UCUCCGUUGGUGAACCAGCGGAGGGAUCAUUGCUGGAAGCGCCGCAAGGUGCACCCAGAAACCCUUUGUGAACUUAUACCUAUUAUCGUUGCCUCGGCGCUGGCUGCCCUAAUCUCUCGGGAAUAGGGGCCCUUUCUCUUCGGAGGAUGGACAGCAGGCCCGCCGGCGGCCUACUUAACUCUUGUUUUUACUGAGUAUCUUCUGAGUAAAGCUUCUAAAUGAAUCAAAACUUUCAACAACGGAUCUCUUGGUUCUGGCAUCGAUGAAGAACGCAGC